UACGUAGGGUGCGAGCGUUAAUCGGAAUUACUGGGCGUAAAGCGUGCGCAGGCGGUUUUGUAAGCCAGAUGUGAAAUCCCCGGGCUUAACCUGGGAAUGGCAUUUGGGACUGCAAGGCUCGAGUGCGGCAGAGGAGACUGGAAUUCCUGGUGUAGCAGUGAAAUGCGCAGAUAUCAGGAGGAACACCGGUGGCGAAGGCGGGUCUCUGGGCCGACAUUGACGCUGAGGAGCGAAAGCGUGGGGAGCGAACAGG
rnacentral:rRNA from 1 species